rnacentral:rRNA from 1 species
AACAAACGCUGGCGGCGUGUCUUAAGCAUGCAAGUUGAGCGGCAAGGAGGAGAGAUCCUCCCUAGAGCGGCGGACUGGUGAGUAACGCGUGGGUAAUCUAUCGUAGGCAUGGGGAUAGUCACUAGAAAUAGUGGGUAAUACCGAAUACGUUCCAUGAGGGGAGUAUUCAUGGAAGAAAGGGUGCUACGGCACUGGCCUUAGGUGAGCUCGCGUCCCAUUAGCUAGUUGGUGAGGUAAAGGCCCACCAAGGCGAUGAUGGGUAGCCGGCCUGAGAGGGUGUACGGCCACACUGGGACUGAGAUACGGCCCAGACUCCUACGGAGGCAGCAGCUAAGAAUAUUCCGCAAUGGACGAAAGUCUGACGGAGCGACGCCGCGUGGAUGAAGAAGGCCGAAAGGUUGUAAAGUUCUUUUGCUAGGGGAGAAUAAGUGAGGGAGGGAAUGCCCUCAUGAUGACAAGGACUAGCGAAUAAGCCCCGGCAACUACGUGCCAGCACG